rnacentral:lncRNA from 1 species
UCGUGCUGCUUAGAAAAAUACCAGUAGCAGUGAUGUCAAAUACCUUCCUGUCUGUCUGAUUCACCCACUUCUUGGAGAACUCACAGGUCCUGCUUACUGGGCUAUGAGGACAUUUGAUCCAACCAAACUGAACCAAUCACCUUAUCUAUUACGGAGAUCUGGAAUAAGGACUUCAGACUGAGGACAGCUUUUGCUGGACACUUGGUCUGGAAGACACUUCUGGGAAGCAGCCUCUGCCCAGAGCUCCAACCAGAAGCACAGCUAAUUACAGACCUACCACAACCAAACGAAGUCCUAAGACAGAAGAAGCCAGAAGCACUGCCCAAGGUGCAGCAGGAAAUGCCCCUCUCCACUCUCUGUCAUUGGCUGAGUGCCUGCCUCCAAUGUCAGAGGCACUGCCUUCUGGAGCACGCCGGAGGCCCAACAGCUCAGGGCGUUUGUGUAUGUAUCCAGAUCGUGGGUUCCGAUGAGGCUGGUCAGGGGUCAACACACUGGCUCGGAAGGGUCCACUGUGGAGAGAAGGGAGAGGUCUGUAAGUAUCAACCGGGCAACACUCUGCUUUCCACUGUCGGCCUACAAGACUCAAGCUCUAGGCCCGUUUUCCUCUAGUCUUAAACUGGCAGGACGCCCACGGCUUACCAACAGCGCCCCUUCCCUCUUGCCCAUUGGCUUCAGCGGGUCCUUCUCUUUCUUUCCCAGAUAGAAUAUACAUAUACGUACGUUGUUCUUGUCAGUUGGGCCUCUGCUGAUGUGUUUUGCUUCUUCCACUCAAUGCGGGAGGUAGAACUGACCUGUGUAAGUGGCAGUGUGUUGAGCCAAACUUAACUGUGCAAAGCUUCUGUGGCCCAGGGGAUAGGAGGUGGAGGCAGGGCCACUGGGGCAGCAGGAGCAGACUUCUGAAGUCUGUGCUGUGUCAGGGACAGCAGCCCGGGAGGAAGCGAGGUGCAGACGGGGGACACAGGCCGUGACUCUCC